UUUUCGUAUUUUUCCAUUUCUUUUGCGCUCUCCCAGUUGCGGUCGUCGUUGGCGUCGCUGUCGCUGCCAGCGUCAACGGCGCUGCUUGGCUUGGCCGCUCGCUUUCAUGGGGUUCUUGAGCGUAUGCAAAAGAUUUUUGCACAUAUUCAUCUUUUUGGCCGUUUUCGGUGCUUUUUGACUGUUUGGAACAUUUUUAAAGAUUACGUUAAAACGUUGUUGAUACUUAUUAAAAAUAUUGUUUUGUUAAUUAUAAUAAUAAUAA